UUCUGGGCUUCUGAGGUCUUUGUCAUUGACUACUUUAAAUGACACUCAAAACUUCUGAGUUGUUAGAAAUCAAAGCAAGUUUUUUGUUUGUUUGUUUGUUUGUUUUUUAAUACGGGGGCUGAGGUUCUGUAACACUGUGUGCCUUUCUUCACACAGCCCCCGACUCCACAGUGAGGCCUGGUUUCUAGCUGCUGACUGUUGAAGAUUCUGCUCUUUCCCCAGCAUCUUGCAGGCUUUGCUGGGUUGUGUAGCUCCCGUGGCUCCGACUGGUGGACCGGCUCAACGAGAAAACCAACAACAGCAGAAGUUCACUGCCUGGCUGGCUGAUAAGGAGGAUUACAACAGAGUUGGUUUCCCACAAAGGUGAUUCGCCAUCCUGACAAGGAAAAGGGAGUGAGUCUGCACGAAACGUCCAUAGAAGAAG